UACUUUGGCCACAUUUAAUAUGGACAUCCAACAUUGUAACAUUAUAUACAGUAUAGACUGAAAAUAAGGUAAAGUAUAAAAGGUCAUUUUUAAGAGAGAAAUCAUAUGAAAUAAAAGUCAAAAAAGGUGCACAAUAUCAGUAGAAAUCAAAAAUGUUGUCUAUUUUGUAUUUGAUUUUAUUUAUUUUAAAAGGCUUCUUCGGCAUGCCCAUGAAGAGCAAAAGACAAGUGACCCUUGCCUUUAAAUGACUGAAUUUGUGUACAACAUUUUCCUUUCAGUGCGACAUCACAAACCACCAGCUUAAAGAAAAAACAUUUCUGUCUCAAAAAUGUUUUCAUUGCCACUGUAAUUCAGCCUUAGUCCUUGCCAAAUCAUAAUGCAUAUUGGAAAAACUGGCAGAAACAUCAAAGCCCAAUGAUAGUGAAGGAAUACUGUUGAUACUGACUUGGAAAAGAAACACACAAAUAAAUGGUGAAACAGGAAAUCCUUGUGUAUGUGUAUUCGUUCAGCAGGUUUUGAUCUGAAAUCUGACAUCCUCGUGCCAUUCGAAAGUUUUUUUUUCCCCUCCAGUUUCUGUGGUUGUGUUGAAAACAAAAAUCAUCUGUUUAAGUGGCUGUCCUCCUCAAAGCCAUGUGGCCAAAUGUAGCCUGAGACUGAGACUGAGGGCUCAGGGGUUGGUGACUAAGGCAAGACGUAAUGCUUGGCACGGAGACAUGAGCUCUUUUUACCCUUCCUCCAAAUUCCCUCUAUUUGGGGUGUGCAAGAGGAUCAACAGGCCAAGCCGUCUCUCCUCCCUGUUCUUGUUGUCUGGAAGCUGGACAGCCUGAGGAUGAUGGGAGCGUGCUCAGCAGACCUUUGAGCGUCUUAAAAUGGACAUAUGUGUAGGAGCUUUGUUUGAGUAUGAAACCGCUGGCGGGGAGCGUCCUCGGUGGCGUGGGUGUUCAAAGACAACCAGGAGGUAUAUCUAUGAAGUCAUCUUUAACAGUUAAAUUCGAGUUUUCCAGUUGAAAGGAAUAACAGGUCAAAUGCAGGGGCGAAACAGUUGGAUCGGCAUGGUUUACUUCAUUUACUCCACACAGUCUGUUCCAAUGACCUCAUUUCCUCCAGGGCAUCCCGCUGGACAUACCCUUCUGGAAGCUGAUCAACCACUCGGGGCUGAAUGAUAUGGUGUUAUUUGAAUGGGCAGAUCCAUGAAUGUUUUGCACAUCAUAGUCUUGCAGACAGAACCAUUAUCCAUGUUACCUGCACCUUCUUCUAUACAGUCCAGUGCAAGCCAGACCUGACCACACUGAACCAGACCCAGCUCUUGGUGAAAGAUCCUUAGAAAUUGAUGUUGGCUUCAUACUGCUUGUCUGUACACAUUUGAAGUUUCAGUUCAUUCAUAAUGCUGAAAUAUGUAAUAUGUUUUUUGUUAAAAUAUUAUACUUUGUUGUCAUAAGCAUUUACUGUCUAAGUGAUACUUUACCUUUUUUUUUUGCUACGGUCCAAAUCAGAGGAUGAGUAGCUAAGCAUUUUACACAAGGAGAAAUCCAAGCGAAAGAAAAUGCAUCACUAAAAGCCAUGUGAGAACGUUCACUCUGCUCAAUGGUCAGAUGCAUCGGUGGGAGCAAAAACAUAAACACAGGAAGAAGGUCCAUAAGAAGGUCCUAUAUCUGCCGUUUAGUAAUAGAGUUGGAUCAAGGUUGAAUCACGUUCCCACCACAUACAAACCGCUCCAGAGUUCAUUUGGAACCGGACUGAGACCACCUCCUCAAAAGGUCUUGGUAUGGUCGUUUUGGUUAGCAACUGAGUAUGAUUACUGUGUUCAGACCUGCCAAACAAAUUGCACCAAGGGGGAAAAGGAAAAAGUGUCUAAUUCAACCAGACUAAAAAACACAGGUCUGUAAAAGCUCUUCUGUAAAGUCCCAUUGCUUGGCGGAGUGGCUUGCUACCUUUCUGACUGACAAUGAAAAUAAAGUCUGUUCAAACCAGA